UACGGGGGGGGCAAGCGUUGUUCGGAAUUACUGGGCGUAAAGGGCUCGUAGGCGGCCAACUAAGUCGGAUGUGAAAUCCCCAGGCUUAACCUGGGAACUGCAUCCGAUACUGGAUGGCUUGAAUUCGGGAGAGGGAUGCAGAAUUCCAGGUGUAGCGGUGAAAUGCGUAGAUAUCUGGAGGAAUACCGGUGGCGAAGGCGGCAUCCUGGACCGACAUUGACGCUGAGGAACGAAAGCUAGGGGAGCAAACGGG
rnacentral:rRNA from 1 species